UUUAGAGUUUUGAAUAUGGCUCAGAUUGAACGCUGGCGGCAGGCCUAACACAUGCAAGUCGAACGGUAGCACAGAGAGCUUGCUCUCGGGUGACGAGUGGCGGACGGGUGAGUAAUGUCUGGGAAACUGCCUGAUGGAGGGGGAUAACUACUGGAAACGGUAGCUAAUACCGCAUAACGUCGCAAGACCAAAGAGGGGGACCUUCGGGCCUCUUGCCAUCAGAUGUGCCCAGAUGGGAUUAGCUAGUAGGUGGGGUAACGGCUCACCUAGGCGACGAUCCCUAGCUGGUCUGAGAGGAUGACCAGCCACACUGGAACUGAGACACGGUCCAGACUCCUACGGGAGGCAGCAGUGGGGAAUAUUGCACAAUGGGCGCAAGCCUGAUGCAGCCAUGCCGCGUGUAUGAAGAAGGCCUUCGGGUUGUAAAGUACUUUCAGCGGGGAGGAAGGUGUUGUGGUUAAUAACCACAGCAAUUGACGUUACCCGCAGAAGAAGCACCGGCUAACUCCGUGCCAGCAGCCGCGGUAAUACGGAGGGUGCAAGCGUUAAUCGGAAUUACUGGGCGUAAAGCGCACGCAGGCGGUCUGUCAAGUCGGAUGUGAAAUCCCCGGGCUCAACCUGGGAACUGCAUUCGAAACUGGCAGGCUAGAGUCUUGUAGAGGGGGGUAGAAUUCCAGGUGUAGCGGUGAAAUGCGUAGAGAUCUGGAGGAAUACCGGUGGCGAAGGCGGCCCCCUGGACAAAGACUGACGCUCAGGUGCGAAAGCGUGGGGAGCAAACAGGAUUAGAUACCCUGGUAGUCCACGCCGUAAACGAUGUCGAUUUGGAGGUUGUGCCCUUGAGGCGUGGCUUCCGGAGCUAACGCGUUAAAUCGACCGCCUGGGGAGUACGGCCGCAAGGUUAAAACUCAAAUGAAUUGACGGGGGCCCGCACAAGCGGUGAGCAUGUGGUUUAAUUCGAUGCAACGCGAAGAACCUUACCUGGUCUUGACAUCCACAGAACUUUCCAGAGAUGGAUUGGUGCCUUCGGGAACUGUGAGACAGGUGCUGCAUGGCUGUCGUCAGCUCGUGUUGUGAAAUGUUGGGUUAAGUCCCGCAACGAGCGCAACCCUUAUCCUUUGUUGCCAGCGGUUAGGCCGGGAACUCAAAGGAGACUGCCAGUGAUAAACUGGAGGAAGGUGGGGAUGACGUCAAGUCAUCAUGGCCCUUACGACCAGGGCUACACACGUGCUACAAUGGCGCAUACAAAGAGAAGCGACCUCGCGAGAGCAAGCGGACCUCAUAAAGUGCGUCGUAGUCCGGAUUGGAGUCUGCAACUCGACUCCAUGAAGUCGGAAUCGCUAGUAAUCGUAGAUCAGAAUGCUACGGUGAAUACGUUCCCGGGCCUUGUACACACCGCCCGUCACACCAUGGGGAGUGGGUUGCAAAAGAAGUAGGUAGCUUAACCUUCGGGAGGGCGCUUACCACUUUGUGAU
rnacentral:rRNA from 1 species